AUGGCCGAGUGGUCUAAGGCGCCAGACUCAAGGGUUCACUCCUUCCUCAGCAAAGAGACUUCUGGUCUCCAAAUGGAGGUGUGGUUCAAACCCCACUUCUGACAGAUUAUUUGGCAAAACAGAUAUCUCUGCUGUAGUUUCUGUAGAAAACAAAGUUUUCCUUGAAUAUCUACAGGUACCAUUUUGAAUGAAUGAAAUCAUGAGAACAUAGAAAACCAAAAUUGCUGUGAGGUGUGCAACAUGGAUUUUGUUAGUUCAAAAGAUGUAUUUCACCUUGCUAGAAGUUACACAGAAUGUCAAUGUAAAUCCAGCUGGAGUUGGUUUUAGAAUCAAGCCGACAAUCAGCAUCCUCCCAGACCACUGAUGUCAACAGUGGGGGAUGGGUUGGCAAAGGUGUGUGUUACAGGAGUGAAGGCCACCCCUGAGAACAGUGGUCCACAGUACAACAGACUACAACAGGCUCUCCGGACGAGGAAACUCUGCCCUCUUCAUCCACCUGAAGAGCAGAGAGGAUCCUCAGAGCAGCAGUGAAGACCUUCAGGGUCUGCAGAGACCUGCUGUGUCUCCGUCCGGCUCGGCCACGACGUUAUCGUCUCCCUCGGUUCAGUCUGACAGGAGACCUGGCAGACCCCGCCUCGGUGAGGAGCCAACCCACCACGUCCUCAGAGUCUGCAUGCUGGAGGAUUCCCAGUCCGACGGUUGCCCAAUUUUCUCAUUUCCCGGUCUGAGUUGACCCGUCAAGUUUGACAUAAUUUUGCAUUUCCCGGUCUGAGCGAACCCGGUCAAGUCGUGCUGAGGCAUUGUGACCCCCAACUAUUCUGUUUUGCAGUCUCACUUGACCCGGACCAUUCUGUUCUGCAGCAAUUUCUGCCCCCUGUGACAAAGUGGGUGAGAACACACCAUUUGUCCCAUAUUACAUUCAUCUAUAAAUCUAAACCAUGUGAGUCAAUUGUUUGUGUACCAUACCCACCAUGUGUUCCAGAGGUUAAAGGGGAAGGCACCCAAACAUUUCCUCUAUUUAUCCACUGGAUGAUGUCAUCAGUGAUGUCAUUGGGUCAAACCAAGUAUGGGGGGGAGUAGAGUAUGUACAGGUAGAUUUGUAGGUUAGUUGUGAUCUUUUUUACAUUGUUGUGAGUUUAUAGCAAAUUGUAAAGCAUAUCAAAUUGUUGGCUACCUAAAGGGGUGCUGUAAGGUAUAGGUUUUGUCUGGUAACUAUUGGAGUCAGUAAUUGGUGUCACCUGCACUCAUCGUAGGAUCUAGAUCCUGCUGACAGGAGGCUCUAUGGGUACAUCCCAAGUCUCUUAAUUGCAUCCCCGUUUCCCUCACUUGGGUCCUUUCCUUGCGUCUUAG